UACCGGCACCCCGAGUGGUCGGGACGUUUAUUGGGCCUAAAGCAUCCGUAGCCGGUUCUGCAAGUCUUCCGUUAAAUCCACCUGCUUAACAGAUGGGCCGCGGAAGAUACUAUAGAGCUAGGAGGCGGGAGAGGCAAGCGGUACUCGAUGGGUAGGGGUAAAAUCCGUUGAUCCAUUGAAGACCACCAGUGGCGAAGGCGGCUUGCCAGAACGCGCUCGACGGUGAGGGAUGAAAGCUGGGGGAGCAAACCGG
rnacentral:rRNA from 1 species